AGCUACCCAAGUUCUGUUUUUAGGUGCCACUGCCAUCCACAAAACUCCUGCAUGGAUGCUGACUUAACCCUGUCAGCACCUAAAUUUACUCCCUGCUUGAAGCUUUGUAAUAAAAGUUUCCAAGGUGCCUAAAUGUGGACCCGGACCUGAGCCUCAGUUCCCUCUCUCUGUGAUGUUGUGAGGAUACUUACAUUAAAAGAUGAUGAGGAAACAACAAAACAAGAAAAAACAAUUGGAGGGAAGUAGAUGCAAGCAUCAGGUACAAUGUGCUGCUCAGGAGUAAAUUUAUAUGUAUCUCAUGGUUGCUUAUCUGUUGUUCCCACUAUUCAGUGGAGAUGGUUGAACAGCAGCAUUCACUGCAGACAAGGAGCUUCCAGAUUCUGUCAGAUACUUGAGGGAGUUAUACAAAUUCUGCAUUACAAGACAUUGUUUCCUACAGUGAUCUGACAUGCCACUGGAGCUUGUAUAAACUGAAAG